rnacentral:rRNA from 1 species
ACGCUCGACACCUACGGGAGGCAGCAGUGGGGAAUAUUGCACAAUGGGGGAAACCCUGAUGCAGCGACGCCGCGUGAAGGAAGAAGUAUCUCGGUAUGUAAACUUCUAUCAGCAGGGAAGAAAGUGACGGUACCUGACUAAGAAGCCCCGGCUAAUUACGUGUCAGCAGCCGCGGUAAUCUGAGCGGGCUGGCAAGGC